rnacentral:rRNA from 1 species
GACGAACGCUGGCGGCGUGCUUAACACAUGCAAGUCGAACGGAAAGGCCCCUUUGGGGGUACUCGAGUGGCGAACGGGUGAGUAACACGUGAGUAACCUGCCCUUGACUUCGGGAUAACUUCAGGAAACUGGGGCUAAUACCGGAUAGGAAUCCUUGCUGCAUGGUGGGGGUUGGAAAGCUUCGGCGGUUUUGGAUGGACUCGCGGCUUAUCAGCUUGUUGGUGGGGUAGUGGCUUACCAAGGCUUUGACGGGUAGCCGGCCUGAGAGGGCGACCGGCCACAUUAGGACUGAGAUACGGCCCAGACUCCUACGGGAGGCAGCGGUGGGGAAUAUUGCACAAUGGGCGGAAGCCUGAUGCAGCAACGCCGCGUGCGGGAUGACGGCCUUCGGGUUGUAAACCGCUUUCAGCAGGGGCGAAGCUUGUGGUGACGGUACCUACAGAAGAAGCACCGGCUAACUACGUG